AUUGAACGCUGGCGGCAGGCCUAACACAUGCAAGUCGAGCGAGCGGCGGACGGGUGAGUACUGUCUGGGAAACUGCUUGUUGGCGGGGGAUAACUACUGGAAACGGUAGCUAAUCCUGCAUACCAUCAGAUGUGUCCAGAUGGGAUUAGCUAGUAGGUGGGGUAAUGGCUCACCUAGGCGACGAUCCCUAGCUGGUCUGAGAGGUUGACCAGCCACACUGGAACUGAGACACGGUCCAGACUCCUACGGGAGGCAGCAGUGGGGAAUAUUGCACAAUGGGCGCAAGCCUGAUACAGCCAUGCCGCGUGUGUGAAGAAGGCCUUCGGGUUGUAAAGCACUUUCAGCGGGGAGGCGUUACCCACAGAAGAAGCACCGGCUAACUCCGUGCCAGCAGCCGCGGUAAUAC
rnacentral:rRNA from 1 species